CUACUUCUAUUUGCUGCGGACAAAUAAAGUGAAUGUGACUGUCAAUACCGCCUGGUGUAACAAUCGAGCCUUCCCCAGCUACUACUUCUGUACCAGGACCGAUAAUAAUAUCGACGUUAUCUUGAAUAUAUGGAUUGCCUGCUUUACCAAUUUUAAAAAUUCGCCCUUCUUUGACACCAAUAUCUGCUUUGACAAUUCCCCACCAGUCGAGAAUUAAGGCAUUGGUAAUAACUAAAUCUACUGCUCCAUCAGCAUUAGAUAUCGGCGAUUGUCCCAUCCCGUCGCGG
rnacentral:sRNA from 1 species